AUCCUAUUGUAGUUUAUAAGCAUGAUGACUGGGUGUUCAUGCCAUUGUGUGAGAUGUGCCUCCCUUAAAUCUUGUUACAAUGUCAGCAUAUAACCCAUCUGGUU
rfam:Pteropus alecto contig101257, whole genome shotgun sequence.